GCGACCGUGGUGUAGCGGUUAGCAUUGGUGCCUUCCAUCUAAUAAAUUGGUAGCACUAGAUCGGGGUUCGACUCCCCGCGGUCGCA
rfam:Fusarium poae strain 2516 chromosome FPOA_4 Chr4, whole genome shotgun sequence.